rnacentral:rRNA from 1 species
GGGCCCGCACAAGCGGAGGAACAUGUGGUUUAAUUCGAUGAUACGCGAGGAACCUUACCCGGGCUUGAAAUGCAUCUGACAGGAGCAGAGACGCUCUCUCCCUUCGGGGCAGAUGUGUAGGUGCUGCAUGGUUGUCGUCAGCUCGUGCCGUGAGGUGUCGGCUUAAGUGCCAUAACGAGCGCAACCCUCAUCAUUAGUUACCAUCAGGUUAAGCUGGGGACUCUAAUGAGACUGCCAUCGUAAGAUGUGAGGAAGGUGGGG